CACCGUCCUGUGGGGCCGGUGCCUGCUGACGCCCAGUCCGGGGAAGCCCGCUGUCAGCCCCCUGCCACUCCUAGAGAGCAGCAGCAGCGGAGAUCUACCUGCAGUGGCCGCCAUCUCUCAACUGGAAGCGCUCCGGAGCCGGGCGCGCAGCGGCGCUCGCUGGGCGGGACUAAAACACGCCGCUCAAAACUCUCCAGACCAAUGGUGAGGGCGCAGGAAUAGAAAGUGGGCGUGGCGAUAUGCGACCGGCCCCGCCUUCCUGUGCUAUGUUUCCGGGACUGUAGUGAAAUGGGCGGAGAGUGACAGCUGUCAGUCAUCCCUGGGUCCCGCCCAC